rnacentral:rRNA from 1 species
AGGGAUAGUUGGGGGCAUUAAUAUUUAAUUGUCAGAGGUGAAAUUCUUGGAUUUAUGAAAGAUUAACUUCUGCGAAAGCGUUUGCCAAGGAUGUUUUCAUUAAUCAAGAACGAAAGUUAGGGGAUCGAAGACGAUCAGAUACCGUCGUAGUCUUAACCAUAAACGAUGCCGACCAGCGAUUAGGAGACGUUGAAUACAAAACACCGCUGUUAGUCCUUUCGGGGAUUAAUAGUUGGUGAAUGACUCCCUAGCAGCUUGUGAGAAGACUCCCUAGCAGCUUGUGAGAU